rnacentral:tRNA from 1 species
UCCAGGGUAACCUAGUGGACAUGGCAUCUGCCCAGUAAGCGGAACACUGUGGGUUCGAUUCCCAUCCCUGGAC